AUUUAAGGUUUAACCUGCCCAAUGAUUAGAAUUUAAUGGCCGCAGUAUAUUAACUGUGCAAAGGUAGCAUAAUCAUUAGUUUUUUAAUUAAAAGCUUGUAUGAAAGGUUGGACGAAAUAAAAUCUGUCUUUAUAUAAUAAAAUAUAGAAUUUAACUUUUAAGUAAAAAGGCUUAAAUAUUAUUAAAAGACGAGAAGACCCUAUAGAUCUUUAUAAAUAAUUUAUUAAAAUUUUUAAAGAUUAUUUAUUAUUUUAUUAAUUAAUUUAUUUUAUUGGGGUAAUAUAAAGAUUAAAGUAAUUCUUUAAGUUUAUUUACAUUAAUUUAUGAAUUUAUGAUCCAUUUAUAGUGAUUAUAAGAUUAAGUUACCUUAGGGAUAACAGCGUAAUUUUUUUUGAGAGUUCAUAUCUAUAAAAAAGUUUGCGACCUCGAUGUUGGAUUAAAAAUUAUCUUAGGUGUAGAAGCUUAAGAAUUUGGUCUGUUCGACCAUUAAAUUUUUACAUGAUCUGAGUUCAGACCGGUGUAAGCCAGGUCGGUUUCUAUCUUUAAUAAGGAGUAAUAUUUUAGUACGAAAGGACCAAAUAUUUAAUAUAUUGAUAUUUAAAUUUUUGAAUAUUAUUAUUACUUUGGCAGAAGAUAGUGUAAUGAAUUUAGAAUUCAUAAAUGUAAUUUUAUUACAGGUAAUACUUGUUUAUAGGAGAUAUAUAUCUUAUAUUAAUUUGUAUGUUGUUAUUAGUAAUCUGUGUUUUAGUAGGUGUAGCUUUUUUAACUUUAUUGGAGCGAAAGGUGUU
rnacentral:rRNA from 1 species